rnacentral:rRNA from 1 species
UACAGAGGGUGCUAGCGUUAAUCGGAUUUACUGGGCGUAAAGCGUGUGUAGGCGGUUCGUUAAGUCGGAUGUGAAAGCCCUGGGCUCAACCUAGGAAUUGCAUUCGAUACUGGCGGGCUAGAGUACGGUAGAGGGCGGCGGAAUUCCGGGUGUAGCGGUGAAAUGCGUAGAUAUCCGGAGGAACAUCAGUUGCGAAGGCGGCUCUCUGGACCAGCACUGACACUGAGGCACGAAAGCGUGGGGAGCAAACAGG